UACGUAGGAGACGAGCGUUGUCCGGAGUUACUGGGCGUAAAGGGUGCGCAGGUGGCGGCGCGCGUGGGGGGUGAAAUCGCCCGGCUUAACUGGGCGGGGGCCUUCCAGACGGCGUGGCUUGAGCAGCGGAGGGGGACGUGGAAUUCCGGGUGGAGCGGUGAAAUGCGUAGAGAUCCGGAAGAACACCGGUGGCGAAGGCGGCCUGCUGGGCAGUUGCUGACACUGAGGCGCGACAGCGUGGGGAGCAAACAGG
rnacentral:rRNA from 1 species